rnacentral:rRNA from 1 species
AUUGAACGCUGGCGGCAUGCCUUACACAUGCAAGUCGAACGGUAACAGGUCUUCGGAUGCUGACGAGUGGCGAACGGGUGAGUAAUACAUCGGAACGUGCCUAGUAGUGGGGGAUAACUACCCGAAAGAGUGGCUAAUACCGCAUGAGAUCUACGGAUGAAAGCAGGGGAUCGCAAGACCUUGUGCUACUAGAGCGGCCGAUGGCAGAUUAGGUAGUUGGUGGGAUAGAAGCUUACCAAGCCGACGAUCUGUAGCUGGUCUGAGAGGACGAUCAGCCACACUGGGACUGAGACACGGCCCAGACUCCUACGGGAGGCAGCAGUGGGGAAUUUGGGACAAUGGGCGCAAGCCUGAUCCAGCAAUGCCGCGUGCAGGAUGAAGGCCUUCGGGUUGUAAACUGCUUUUGUACGGAACGAAAAGCCCUGGGUUAAUACCCUGGGGUCAUGACGGUACCGUAAGAAUAAGCACCGGCUAACUACGUGCCAGCCGCCGCGGUAAAAC